CUGACUGCUAUCGGAUUGAUACUAAGCCAUGCGAGUCAUUGUAGUAAUACAAGGCAGACGGCUCAGUAACGCGUAGUCAACCUACCCUAUGGACGGGAAUAACCUCGGGAAACUGAGAAUAAUGCCCGAUAGAACACUAUGCCUGGAAUGGUUUGUGUUCCAAAUGAUUUAUCGCCAUAGGAUGGGACUGCGGCCUAUCAGUUUGUUGGUGAGGUAAUGGCCCACCAAGACUAUUACAGGUACGGGCUCUGAGAGGAGUGGCCCGGAGAUGGGUACUGAGACACGGACCCAGGCCCUAUGGGGCGCAGCAGGCGAGAAAACUUUGCAAUGUGCGAAAGCACGACAAGGUUAAUCCGAGUGGUUUCUGCUAAAGGAACCUUUUGACAGUCCUAGAAACACUGUUGAAUAAGGGGUGGGCAAGUUCUGGUGUCAGCCGCCGCGGUAAAACCAGCACCUCAAGUUGUCAGGAUGAUUAUUGGGCCUAAAGCAUCCGUAGCCGGCUCUGUUAGUUUUCGGUUAAAUCUGUACGCUUAACGUACAGGCUGCCGGGAAUACUGCAGAGCUAGGGAGUGGGAGAGGUAGACGGUACUCGGUAGGAAGGGGUAAAAUCCUUUGAUCUAUUGAUGACCACCUGUGGCGAAGGCGGUCUACCAGAACACGUCCGACGGUGAGGGAUGAAAGCUGGGGGAGCAAACCGGAUUAGAUACCCGGGUAGUCCCAGCUGUAAACUAUGCAAACUCAGUGAUGCAUUGGCUUGUGGCCAAUGCAGUGCUGCAGGGAAGCCGUUAAGUUUGCCGCCU
rnacentral:rRNA from 1 species